GUCCAUGGCCAUGCCACCCUAAGCAAGCCCCAUGUCUGAUCUCGGAAGCUAAGCAGGGUCAGACCUGUUAGUACUUGGAUGGGAGACCACCUAGGAAGACCAGGUGCUAUAGGCA
rnacentral:rRNA from 1 species